rnacentral:rRNA from 1 species
AUUGAACGCUGGCGGCAGGCCUAACACAUGCAAGUCGAGCGGAUGAAGGGAGCUUGCUCCUGGAUUCAGCGGCGGACGGGUGAGUAAUGCCUAGGAAUCUGCCUGGUAGUGGGGGAUAACGUCCGGAAACGGGCGCUAAUACCGCAUACGUCCUGAGGGAGAAAGUGGGGGAUCUUCGGACCUCACGCUAUCAGAUGAGCCUAGGUCGGAUUAGCUAGUUGGUGGGGUAAAGGCCUACCAAGGCGACGAUCCGUAACUGGUCUGAGAGGAUGAUCAGUCACACUGGAACUGAGACACGGUCCAGACUCCGAAGGGAGGCAGCAGUGGGGAAUAUUGGACAAGGGGCGAAAGCCUGAUCCAGCCAUGCCGCGUGUGUGAAGAAGGUCUUCGGAUUGUAAAGCACUUUAAGUUGAGAGGAAGGGCAGUAAGUUAAUACCUUGCUGUUUGGACGUUACCAACAGAAUAAGCACCGGCGAACUUCGU